CUACCCUCCGGGGUUGGACUGGUCCUGCUGUUACUAUGGAUACGCUCGGGGGAGGAUCCUGCUGUUGUCACGGACCGACGUCCUUUGGGGCUGGGCUAAUCCUGCUGUUGCUGAGGAGGGGCUCAUCCCAUUUCCAAGCCUUUGCCAGGUGCGGAUCAUUACGUGAGCCGAUGUUGUAUCUAAUUGCCUGGUGCGACUUGAGAAAAUGCUAUGUUUCGCCGACUGUGUUAAUUAGAGAUGAGGUACCUGAAGCCCAGAGAAGUGAAGUGACUCGCCUAGGUCACACAGCAGACAAGUGGAGGAGCCUGGGAUUAGAACCCAUGUCCUUCCGAUUCCCAGGCCUGGGCUUUAUCCACUAGGGCCAGUAAUGAUUUCAGUAAAUGAUUUCGGUUUCUGUUUCCCGCGCUAGACUGCGAUAAAAAUGUAAAGCAAGCACUAAAUCCAGUGUUCUGUGCACCGUAAAUGCUCAAUAAAUAUGACAGAUUGUCUUUUUUUCUUUUUUGAUGAUUCUUGUUAGGCAAUUACUGCGU